UGGUAUCACAGAACUCUGGCCAUCUAUGUUUGUAACAGAUUGAUGGCUUACAGGAGGAUUCCCUUGGGGAGCAGACACAUGUCCUUCAGAAGAAGGAAAAUCCACACCAGCAGUAAGAUGAGCAGCAGCAGUUCUCCUCCCCUUGUUAAAUUUUGUACUUUGUGGAUACCCAUGAAUCUUGAAACAAUUAUCAAUUAAGUGCCCAGAUUUUUUGCAGUAUCUACAAAAUAAAGGCCCUCUAGCUUGGUCAAAAUUGAAUCUUUCUCUGAAAUGAGGAGAAGGAUUAGGCACUGUGGCCUUAUUGAGUCCAACUGAAUGUCUAUUAGUGUGGACAUUGAAAGACAUAGAGUCUGGAUUAAACUGAGAAGG
rnacentral:lncRNA from 1 species